rnacentral:lncRNA from 10 species
CCCAUUUGUCAAUUUUGGCUUUUGUUGCAAUUGCUUUUUGUGUUUUAGUCAUGAAGUCUUUGCCCAAGCCUAUGUUCUGAAUGCCUAGGUUUUCUUCUAGGGUUUUUAUGGUUUUAGGUCUUACAUUUAUAUCUUAAUCCAUCUUGAGUUAAUUUUUGUAUGAGGUGUAAGGAAGGGGUCCAGUGUCAGGUUUCUACAUAUGGCUAGCCAGUUUUCCCAACAUUAUUUAUUAAAUAGGGAAUCCUUGCCCCAUUGCUUGUUUUUGUCAGGUUUGUCGAAGAUCAGUUGGUUGUAGAUGUGUGGUGUUAUUUCUGAGGUCUCUGUUCUGUUCCAUUGGUCUAUAUAUCUGUUUUGGUACCAGUACCACGCUGUUUUGGUUACUGUACCCUUGUAGUAUAGUUUGAAGUCAGGUAGCAUCAUGCCUACAGCUUUGUUCUUUUUGCUUGGAAUUGUCUUGGCUGUGCGGGCUCUUUUUUGGUUCCCUAUGAAAUUUAAAGUAGUUUUUUCUAAUUCUGCAAAGAAAGACAUGGUAGCUUGAUGGGAAUAGCACUGAAUAUUUAAAUUACUUUGGGCAGUAUGGCCAUUUUCAUGAUAUUGAUUCUUCCUAUCCGUGAGCAUGGAAAGUUUUUCCAUUUGUUUGUGUCCUAUCUUGUUUCCUUGAGCAGUGGUUUGUAGUUCUCCUUGAAGAGGUCCUUCGCAUCCCUUGUAAGUUUUAUUUCUUGGUAUUUUAUUCUCUUUGUAGCAGUUGUGAAUGGGAGUUCACUCGUGAUUUGACUGUUUGUCUAUUGUUGAUGUAUAGGAAUGCUUGUGAUUUUGCACAUUGAUUUUGUAUCCUGAGUCUGCUGAAGUUACUUAACAGCUUAAGGAGUUUCUGCGCUGAGACAAUGGGGUUUUCUAAAUAUACAAUCAUGUCAUUUGCAAAUAGAGACAAUUUGACUUCCUCAUUUCCUAAUUGAAUACCCUUUAUUUCUUUCUCUUGCCUGAUUGCCCUGACCAGAACUUCCAGUGCUAUGUUGAAUAGGAGUGGUGAGAAAGGGCAUCCUUGUCUUGUGCCGGUUUUCAAAUGGGAUGUUUCCAGCUUUUGCCCAUUCAGUAUGAUGUUGGUUACGGGUUUGUCAUAAAUAGCUCUUAUUAUUUUGAGAUAUGUUCCAUCAAUACCUAGUUUAUUGAGAGUUUUUAGCAUGAAGGGAUGUUGAAUUUUAUCAAAGGCCUUUUCUGCAUCUAUUGAGAUAAUCAUGUGGUUUUUGUCAUUGGAUCUGUUUAUGUGAUGGAUUACAUUUAUUGAUUUGCAUAUGUUGAACAAGCCUUGCAUCCCAGGGAUGAAGCCAACUUGAUUGUGGUGGAUAAGCUUUUUGAUGUGCUACUGGAUUCAGUUUGCCAGUAUUUUUAUUGAGGAUUUUCACGUCAAUGUUCAUCAGGGUUAUUGGCCUGAAAUUCUCUUUUUUUGUUGUGUCCCUGCCAGGCUUUGGUAUCAGGAUGAUGCUGGCCUCAUAAAAUGAGUUAGCGAGGAUUCCCUCUUUUUCUAUUGUUUGGAAUAGUUUCAGAAGGAAUGAUACCAGCUCCUCUUUGUACUGCUGGUAGAAUUCGGCUGUGUAUCCAUCUGGUCCUGGGCUUUUUUUGGUUGGUAGGCUAUUAAUUACUGUCUCAAUUUCAGAACUUGUUAUUGGUCUAUUCAGGGAUUUGACUUCUUCCUCGUUUAGUCUUGAGAGGAUGAAUGUGUACAGGAAUUUAUCCAUUUCUUCUAGAUCUUCUAGUUCAUUUGUGUUGAGGUGUUUAUAGUAUUCUCUGAUGGUAGUUUGUAUUUCUGUGGGAUCAGUGGUUAUAUCCCCUUUAUCAUUUUUUAUUGUGUCUAUUUGAUUCUUCUCUGUUUCCUUCUUUAUUAGUCUUGCUAGCAGUCUAUGUAUUUUGUUAAUGUUUUCAAAAAACCAGCUCCUGGGUUCAUCGAUUUUUUGAAGGGUUUUUGUGUCUCUAUCUCCUUCAGUUCUGCUCUGAUUUAGUUAUUUCUUGUCUUCUUCUAGGUUUGGAAUUUGUUCUUGCUUCUCUAGUUCUUUUAUUGUGAUGUUAGGGUGUUGAUUUUAGAUCUUUCCUGCCUUAUCCUGUGGGCAUUUAGUGCUAUAAAUUUCCCUCUAAACACUGCUUUAGAUGUGGCCCAGAGAUUCUGGUACACUGUCUCUUUGUUCUCAUUGGUUUCAAAGAACUUAUUUAUUUCUGCCUUAAUUUCACUCUUUACCCCGUAAACAUUCAGGAGCAGGUUGUUCAGUUUCGACGUAGUUGUGCAGUUUUGAGUGAGAUUCUUAAUCCUGAGCUCUAAUUUGAUUUCACUGUGGUCUGAGAGACUGUUUGUUAUGAUUUCCAUUAUUUUGCAUUUGGUGAGGAGUGUUUUACUUCCAGUUAUGCGGUUGAUUUUAGAAUAAGUGCUAUGUGGCACUGAGAAGAAUGUAUAUUCUGUUGAUUUGGGGUGGAGAGUUCUGUGGAUGUCUGUUAGGUCUGCUUAGUCCAGAGCUGAGUUCAAGCCCUGAAUAUCCUUAUUAAUUUUCUGUCUUGGUGAUCAUUUAAUAUCGACAGUGAGGUGUUAAACUCUCCCACUAUUACUGUGUGGGAGUCUAAGUCUCUUUGUCAGUCUCUAAAAACUUGUUUUAUAAAUCUGGGUGCUGCUGUAUUGGGUGCAUAUAUGUUUAGCAUAGUUACCUCUUCUUCUUGCAUUGAUCCCUUUACCAUUAUGUAAUGCCUUUCUUUGUCUUUUUUUUUUUUUUUAAUCUUUGUUGGCUUAAAGACUGUUUUAUCAGAGAUUAGGAUUGCAACCCCGGGUUUUUUUUUUUUUUUUUUUUUUUUUGCUUUCCAUUUGCUUGGUAAAUAUUCCUCCAUACCUUUAUUUUGAGCCUAUGUGUGUUUUUGCACGUGAGAUGGGUCUCUUGAAUGCAGCACACCAAUAGGUCUUGGCUCUAUCCAAUUGGUUAGUCUGUGUCUUUUAAUUGGGGCAUUUAGCCCAUUUACAUUUAAGGUAAAUAUUGUUAUGUGUGAAUUUGAUCCUGUCAUCAUGACGCUAGCUGGUUAUUUUGCAUAUUAGUUGAUGCAGUUUCUUCGUAGUGUAAUUGGUCUUUAUAUUUUGGUGUGUUUUUGCAGUGGCUGGUACUGGUUUUUCCUUUCCAUAUUCAGUGCUUCCUUGAGGAGCUCUUAUAAGGCAGGCCUUGUGGUGACAAAAUCCCUCCACAUUUGCUGUCUAUAAAGAAUUUUAUUUCUCCUUUGCUUAUGAAGCUUAAUUUGGCUGGGUGUGAAAUUCUAGGUUGAAAAUUUUCUUUAUGAAUGUUGAAUAUUGGCCCCCACUCUCUUCUGGCUCACAGGGUUUCUGCAGAGGGAUCUGCUGUUAGUCUGAUGAGCUUCCCUUUGUAGGUAACCUGACCUUUCUCUCUGGCUACCCUUAAUAUUUUUUCCUUCAUUACAACCUUGGAAAAUCUGACGAUUAUGUGUCUUGGGGUUGCUCUUCUCAAGGAGUAUCUUAGUGGUAUUCUCUGUAUUUCCUGAAUUUGAAUGUGGGCCUGUCUUGCUAGGGUGGGGAAGCUCUCCUGGAUAAUAUCCUGAAGUGUGUUUUCCAACUUGGUUCCAUUCUCCCUGCCACUUUCAGGUACACCAAUCAAUCAUAGGUUUGGUCUUUUCACAUAGUCCCAUAUUUCUUGAAGGCUUUGUUCAUUCCUUUUCAUUCUUUUUCCUCUAAUCUUGUCUUCACACCUUAUUCAGUAAGUUGAUCUUCAAUCUCUGAUAUCCUUUCUUCUGCUUGAUUGAUUUGGCUAUUGAUACUUGUGUAUGCUUCACGAAGUUCUCAUGCUGUGUUUUCAGCUCCAUCAAGUCAUUUAUGUUCCUCUCUAAAGUAGUUAUUCUAGUUAGCAGUUUAUAUAACCUCUAUUCAAGGUUCUUAGCUUCCUUGCAUUGCAUUAUAACAUCCUCCUUUAGCUCAGAGGAGUUCAUUAUUACCCACCUUCUGAAGCCUACUUCUGUCAAUUUGUCAAUCUCAUUCUCCAUUUAGUUUUGUGCCCUUGCUCAAGAGGAGUUGCAAUCAUUUGGAGGAGAAGAGGCAUUCUGGUUUUUGGAAUUUUCAGGGUUUUUGCACUGGUUUUUCCUGAUCUCUGUGGAUUUAUCUACCUUUGAUCUUUGAGGCUGAUGGCCUUUAGAUGGAGUUUUUGUGUGGGGGUCCUUUAUGUUGAUGUUGAUGUUGUUGUUGCUUUCUGUUUGUUAGUUUUUCUUCUAACAGCCAGGCUCCUCUUCUGCAGGUCUGCUACAGUUUGCUAGAGGUCCACUCCAGACCCUGUGUACCUGUGUAUCACAGUGGAGACUGCAGAACAGCAAAGAUUGCUGCCUGCUCCUUCCUCUGGAAGCUUCGUCCCAGAGGGGCACUGGCCUGAUGUUAGCCCGAGCUCUCCUGAAUGAGGUGUCUUUGACCCCUGUUGGGAGGUGUCUCCCCAUCAGGAGGCACGGGGGUCAGGGACCAACAUGAGGAGGCAGUCUGUCCCUUAGCAGAGAUGGUGGGCUGUGCUGGGAGAAUCCCUCUUGUCAGGAUCAGCUGCUCAUUUCAGAGAACAGGCAGGAACAACUAAACCUGCUGAAGCAGCAACCACAGCUGCCCCUUCCCCCAGGUGCUCUGUCCCAGGGACAUGGAGGUUUUGUCUGUAAGCCCGUGACUGGGGCUGUUACCUUCAGAGAUGCCCUGCCCAGUGAGGAGGAAUUUAGAGAAAAGGUCUGGCCACAGCUACUUUGCUGCACUGUGGUGAGUUCCGCCCAGUCCAGACCUCCCAGCCUCCUUAGCACUGUCAGGGGAAAACUGCCUACUAAAGCCUCAGUAAUGGUGGAUGCCCCUCCCCACACUAAGCUUGGUAGUCCCAGACUGACCUCAGACUGCUGUGCUGGCAGCAAGAAUUUCAAGCCAGUGGUUCUUAGCUUGCUGGGCUCCAUGGGAGUGGGGCCCGCUGAGCAAGACCACUUGGCUCCUUGGCUUCAACCCCCUUUCCAGGGGAGUGAGCUGUUCUGUCUCUCAGGCAUUCCAGGCACCCAUGGGGUAUGAAAAAAACUCCUGCAGCUAGCUUGGUGUCUGCCCAAACAGCUGCCCAGUUUUGUGCUUGAAACCCAGGGCCCUGGUGAUGUGGGCACUCGAGGGAAUCUCCUGAUCUGCAGAUUACAAACACCGUGGGAAAAGCAUAGUAACUGGACAGGUAGCACAGUCCCUCAAGGCUUCUCUUGGCUGGGGGAGGGAGGUCCCCACAUCUCCUUGCACUUCCCGGGUGAAGCAACGCCCCACCCUGCUUCUGCUCACCCUCUGUGGGUUGGACCCACUACCUAACCAGCCCCAGUGAGAUCAAAUGGGUAACUCAGUUGGAAAUGGAGAAAUCACCUGCUUUCUGUUGCUAUUCAGCCAUCUUGGCCAGUUAAUAUAUCUCUUAUAUCUCUUUUAAUCUGUACCUUUCCUCUCUCUCUGUCUCCCUCUCUAUCCUGGAAAUUUUGUUGAAGAAACAGGGUUGUUUGUCCUGUAGAGUUUCACACAGCCUGGGGUUUGCUGAUUGCAGCCCCAUGAUAUUAUUUAUCUAAUUCACUAAUUCACAUUCCCCUCUCUCUCUGUCCAAUUCUCCUGGAAAUUGACAGUUAGAUCUAAAGGCUUGAUUAUAUUAAGUUGUAUUUUUCCUUUCUUUUUUGGCAAGACUAAUUUAUUGAUGGUGUUGUAUGGUUUUGUCAAGAGUUGUAUGGUUGUCUUUAUUUUUAUGUUUUUUGAGCAGCCAAUCACUGCCAGCAGUCCUUACAUGGAUAUUUCUCCCAUCAUUCUGAUUACCUAACAUAUAUUCUCCAGGAGAUUCCGCAGUAACUAUUUAUGGGAAAAAUAUGUCCUUAUUUCUUGCAAGUUUGUCUGUGGCCUUUAUACCUGAAGUUCUAUGUGGCUAAACCCUUAGCUCCCAUUUUCCAUCCCUGAGUAUCCUAAAUACGUUACUCCACUGUCUUCUGAAAAAAAAAAAUCAGUUGACAAAUUUCGGUGACAAUUUGAUAUUCUUUUUUCUUAUUAAUGACUUGGCUGUUAAGACUGGAUGACCACUGAAUUUUUUCUUCUUUUUUUUUUUUUCCUUUUUGUAAUCCAGUGAUUUUUACUUUUCUAGGUAGAUUUUUUUUCUUAUAUGUAUGCCUUUCCAAUAAGAAAUUUUAAAUCAUUUAAAUCUUAUUUCAGGGAAGUGAAGAUGUUAAUAUUGGUUCUAUUCCACUGUUUUUGUUUUCUUUCUUUGAGAUUUCUAUUAUGUAUGUGUUGAAUACUCUUAGCAAUCUGUCUGUAUCUAUCACUUUUUCUCAAAACCUUAUCCCUUUAUUAUUUAUUUUUUUACUGAAUUGUAGUAAACAUACAAUAGAGUUCAUCAUUUAUAAGUAUAGUUUGGCAAAUAUUCAUAAACAGCUGUAUGACCAAACUCUAGAACAUUUUCAUUGCCCCAAAAAGUUAUCUCAUGCCCCUUUGCAGUCAAUUGCCUCCCCCUUACCCACAUAUACAUAAUUCAAUCUCUAGCAACCACUGAUCUGUAUUUUGUUCCUAUGUUUUGCCAUCUUUUAGAAUGUCAUCUAAUUGAACUCCACAGCACAUAGUCUUUCUUAUAUCCGACUUAUUUCAUGUAGCAUAAUGCUUUUGAGAUUAAUAUUGUUGUAUGUAUAAGUAGUUCAAUUAUUUUUAUUGCCAAGUAGUGUUCCUUUAUUAAUAACAUUUUCUCUAUCUUUUCACCAAUCGAUGGAUAUCUGGGUUGUUUCUAGUUUGGGGCUAUUACGAAUGUCUUUCCUCCCACCCAUACUUUGUUUUUCUUAAACUAAUAUCUGUUGCAUUAUUUUGUCCUUGCAUUCCUUCCUUCUAGCAUAGUCUUCAUUCCUGAAAUUCUUUUUUCCUUUUAUUUCUAAUUCUUUCCUGACUUUACCUCUCUGUUAAAAUCUUCCUUCUCUUCAAUUAUCAUAUUUCUGAGUUUUUAAAAUUCUGAUUCAUGUUUUUAUUUCAUAGCUUCUAUCAUUUUCUCAAUUGUUUUUGGCUCAGUUGGAAAUAUUAGGUAUCAUUUUCAUUUAUUUUGUGGGCAUUUAUUUCUGGCAUGCUUUUAUUGUCUGCAAAGAUGUUAUUCUGCUCCUUAACCUCUUUUGUAAAAAAUAAUAACUUUGUAUGGUAAUCAACUCUUUAUGUUGUUCAUUUUCUUCAUUCCUAUUGUGACUACUAAUAAUACUUUCAGCGACAUUUACAAUUACAAAUAAUAUAGGAAAACUUCCUAAGAAUAUAUAAAACUAAGUAUAGCAUCAGCAACAUAUAUAAUUAUACAGCUUCUGUCAUCUGCAAAAAUUAGGUAACAUCAUUACCACUCAUGAAUUUUUUGAAGUCAGUAUUUAUCCUUACUUUACUGAAGAAAAAAACAACAUACCAGAAGUUAAAAGCUUCUUCAAGUUUAUAGGGAGACAACAUUACAACUCUCAGCUCAUAGUUAUUGGAGCAUAUAUUAAAGAUGUACAUAAUUAGAAAAAUGAUCAUUAUCUUAAUCUAAAAAAUUGUUUUUUCUAAGUAGACUUUACUUUGGGCACCCUUCUUAAAAAUGAAAGCAAAUUUGAAAUAAUUAUGAUGCUAAUGCAGUUCUAGGGUGGUAAAAGAAUUUCCAUCCUAAACAAAUUAACUUUCUU